GACAGAGGGUGCAAACGUUGUUCGGAAUUACUGGGCGUAAAGCGCGUGUAGGCGGCCCUGUAAGUCGGGUGUGAAAUCCCACGGCUCAACCGUGGAAGUGCAUUCGAAACUACAGGGCUAGAGUUCUGGAGAGGAAGGUGGAAUGCUUGGUGUAGAGGUGAAAUUCGUAGAUAUCAAGCGGAACACCCGUGGCGAAGGCGGCCACCUGGGCCGACACUGACGCUGAGGCGCGAAGGCGUGGGGAGCGAACGGG
rnacentral:rRNA from 1 species